UCGAUUGAGAUAAUCCAUUUAACUGCAGUAUGAAUGAACUGAUCAAGUGACACAAAACGGAUGUUGAAUACAUACACACAGAAUUAUGUUAUAAAUUAUUCACUUUAUAAUUAUUUUAACACCUAUGCUACCAGUGUAGAUUCAGAUCAGCUUGCGCAUCCAUGCAAGGGAGUCAAAAUCCAAAGGCUGAAGUCACAGGACUCCAAGUCAGUAGUUCCCGUGAGCCUUGUUAGAAUCAGAGACAUAGAGAUAAGCAGCUCUUAUAUUCUCCAUUGAAAUAUCACUCAUGCCUAUCAAAAAGUGAAAAAUUAGGCAUUUUGUAGCAAAUAAAACUUAAUGGAUGUACAUUUGAUCCUUAAAUAUUAUAUACCAUUUCUUUGAAAGGUAAAUCUUUCAUCUAUGACUGCAUGUUAAAAGUGAGCCAUUUUUUUUGUCACAUGAAUUUUGUAACAAAAAAUAUCAAGAAACUCUCUUUAAAAAAUGAUGUAACAUUUAUUUUAAUGGGAACUGUAAAUAUUUUUACCUGCAGGCUGCAGCAAUAGACAAAUGCAUUAGUUUUCAGAAAAUGUAUUAUUUUACUGAUUUUGAUAUCUGGUUAAUAAGUUUUACUUGCUACAAGUUUUAAGUUUAGCAGGCAUGCGUGAUAUUUUAACUGGCUCGGAAGAAGCCUAACUCUGUUAUCUAUGUCUCUGUUAGAAUAUGAUUUUUAAUAAAAUAAGAAAAUGCAUUUAAAUACAAUGUAUGUCAAAACAGAUCUAAAUAAAAUAAUAAUAUCCUUUUUUCAGAUGUAUUACCAUCAUUGUUUUUUAUCAUUUACUGUUUCAACUGCUUGUCAUAACGAGGCUUUGAAUCUUGGCUGUCGGUUUCAUUUUCAUUGGUCUUGUAUUGCUUUUCGGUCGUGACUUGCUCUAAUAAAAAGUAAAUUGAAUCUGCAGAAACUAUGUUAAGGCUUUGUUCUUAUUUGAUAAAUGUGAAUGUAUUAAAAUAUUGAUUUAUAUUUAAACAGGUGAACAUUUGGUUGGACCAUUUGACGAGUGUUUCUGCCAACAGAAAAAAGGGGCAAGGCAAAGGCGUCCGAAACACGGUCUUUGAAAAAGGUUCAAGCUUCUAUCCAUGCCCAAGCUUCUAUCAAGGUUCAAGCUCCUAUAUAUCCCGACUCAAGCUCCCAUCCAGGCUCCUGCUCCUAUCCAGGCUCUUCAGGAAAGUGCACCAGAUU